rnacentral:rRNA from 1 species
GAUGAACGCUAGCGGCAGGCUUAACACAUGCAAGUCGAGGGGCAUCGGGAGGGAAGCUUGCUUUCCUUGCCGGCGACCGGCGCACGGGUGAGUAACACGUAUGCAACCUGCCCUCUUCAGGGGGACAACCUUCCGAAAGGGAGGCUAAUCCCGCGUAUAUCGGUUUCGGGCAUCCGGGAUCGAGGAAAGAUUCAUCGGAAGAGGAUGGGCAUGCGGCGCAUUAGCUUGACGGCGGGGUAAUGGCCCACCGUGGCGACGAUGCGUAGGGGUUCUGAGAGGAAGGUCCCCCACACUGGUACUGAGACACGGACCAGACUCCUACGGGAGGCGGCAGUGAGGAAUAUUGGUCAAUGGGAGAGAUCCUGAACCAGCCAAGCCGCGUGAGGGAAGACGGCCCUAUGGGUUGUAAACCUCUUUUGUCGGAGAACAAAACCCGGGACGAGUCCCGGACUGCGUGUAUCCGAAGAAAAAGCAUCGGCUAACUCCGUGCCAGCAGCCGCGGUAAUACGGAGGAUGCGAGCGUUAUCCGGAUUUAUUGGGUUUAAAGGGUGCGUAGGCGGUCCGUUAAGUCAGCGGUAAAAUUGCGGGGCUCAACCCCGUCGAGCCGUUGAAACUGGCAGACUUGAGUUGGCGAGAAGUACGCGGAAUGCGCGGUGUAGCGGUGAAAUGCAUAGAUAUCGCGCAGAACUCCGAUUGCGAAGGCAGCGUACCGGCGCCACACUGACGCUGAGGCACGAAAGCGUGGGGAUCGAACAGGAUUAGAUACCCUGGUAGUCCACGCAGUAAACGAUGAAUGCUGGUUGUCCGGGUCGAAUGAGAUCUGGGCGGCGAAGCGAAAGCGAUAAGCAUUUCCACCUGGGGGAGUACGCCGGCAACGGUGAAACUCAAAGGAAUUGACGGGGGCCCGCACAAGCGGAGGAACAUGUGGUUUAAUUCGAUGAUACGCGAGGAACCUUACCCGGGCUCAAACGGGAGUGGAAUGGACCAGAGACGGUUCAGCCUACGGGCCGCUUCCGAGGUGCUGCAUGGUUGUCGUCAGCUCGUGCCGUGAGGUGUCGGCUUAAGUGCCAUAACGAGCGCAACCCCCGCCGGCAGUUGCUAACGGGCAAUGCCGAGGACUCUGCCGGGACUGCCGCCGCAAGGCGUGAGGAAGGCGGGGAUGACGUCAAAUCAGCACGGCCCUUACGUCCGGGGCGACACACGUGUUACAAUGGGCGGUACAACGGGAAGCCAGGCGGCGACGCCGAGCGGAACCCGAAAGCCGUUCUCAGUUCGGAUCGGAGUCUGCAACCCGACUCCGUGAAGCUGGAUUCGCUAGUAAUCGCGCAUCAGCCAUGGCGCGGUGAAUACGUUCCCGGGCCUUGUACACACCGCCCGUCAAGCCAUGGGAGCCGGGGGUGCUUGAAGUGCGUCGCCGUGAGGCGCGCCCUAGAGCAAAACCGGUGACUGGGGCU